rnacentral:rRNA from 1 species
UACGUAGGGUGCAAGCGUUGUCCGGAAUUAUUGGGCGUAAAGAGCUCGUAGGCGGUUUGUCGCGUCUGCUGUGAAAUCCCGAGGCUCAACCUCGGGCCUGCAGUGGGUACGGGCAGACUGGAGUGCGGUAGGGGAGAAUGGAACUCCUGGUGUAGCGGUGGAAUGCGCAGAUAUCAGGAAGAACACCGAUGGCGAAGGCAGUUCUCUGGGCCGUAACUGACGCUGAGGAGCGAAAGCGUGGGGAGCGAACAGG